rnacentral:misc_RNA from 1 species
GAUGAAGAACGUAGCGAAAUGCGAUAAGUAAUGUGAAUUGCAGAAUUCAGUGAAUCAUCGAAUCUUUGAACGCACCUUGCGCUCUUUGGUAUUCCGAAGAGCAUGCCUGUUUGAGUGUCAUGAAAAUAUCAACCUUGACUUGGGUUUUGUGCUCUAGUCUCGGCUUGGAAUUGGGUGCUUGCCGCUUUUACGAGCGGCUCACCUUAAAUGUAUUAGCUGGAUCUGUCUUUGAGACUUGGUUUGACUUGGCGUAAUAAGUAUUUCGCUAAGGACAUUCUUCGGAGUGGCCUCGUUUCUAGGACUCUUGUCCGCUUUCCAAUACAAGUUCCACCUCGUGGACAUGACUUUUUAUUAUCUGGCCUCAAAUCAGGUAGGACUACCCGCUGAACUUAAGCAUAUCAAUAAGCGGAGGA